rnacentral:rRNA from 1 species
AUACGUAGGGGGCGAGCGUUGUCCGGAAUGAUUGGGCGUAAAGGGCGCGUAGGCGGCCCGGUAAGUCUGGAGUGAAAGUCCUGUUUUUAAGAUGGGAAUUGCUUUGGAUACUGUCGGGCUUGAGUGCAGGAGAGGUAAGUGGAAUUCCCAGUGUAGCGGUGAAAUGCGUAGAGAUUGGGAGGAACACCAGUGGCGAAGGCGACUUACUGGACUGUAACUGACACUUAGGCGCGAAAUGGUGGGGAGCAAACAGGAUUAGAUACCCUGGUAGUCCACACUGUAAACGAUGAAUGCUAGGUGUAGGGGGUAUCGACCCCUUCUGUGCCGCAGUCAACACAAUAAGCAUUCCGCCUGGGGAGUACGGCCGCAAGGUUGAAACUCAAAGGAAUUGACGGGG